rnacentral:rRNA from 1 species
UAUUGGACAAUGGGCGCAAGCCUGAUCCAGCAACGCCGCGUGGAGGACGAAGGUCUUCGGAUCGUAAACUCCUGUCAGGCGGGACGAAGGCUUCCGGGCAAAUAGUCUGGAAGCUUGACGGUACUGCCAGAGGAAGCCCGGGCUAACCCCGUGCCAGCAGACGCGGUAAUACGGGGGGGGCAAGCGUUGUUCGGAAUUACUGGGCGUAAAGGGCGCGUAGGCGGCUUGUUAAGUCGGGUGUGAAAACUCUGGGCUCAACCCAGAGCCUGCAUUCGAAACUGACGAGCUAGAGUUCUGGAGGGGAAAGCGGAAUUCCUGGUGUAGCAGUGAAAUGCGUAGAUAUCAGGAGGAACACCGGUGGCGAAGGCGGCUUUCUGGACAGAAACUGACGCUGAUGCGCGAAAGCUAGGGGAGCAAAC